AUUGAACGCUGGCGGCAGGCCUAACACAUGCAAGUCGAACGGUAACAGGAAGAAGCUUGCUUCUUUGCUGACGAGUGGCGGACGGGUGAGUAAUGUCUGGGAAACUGCCUGAUGGAGGGGGAUAACUACUGGAAACGGUAGCUAAUACCGCACAACGUCGCAAGACCAAAGAGGGGGACCUUCGGGCCUCUUGCCAUCGGAUGCGCCCAGAUGGGAUUAGCUAGUAGGUGGGGUAACGGCUCACCUAGGCGACGAUCCCUAGCUGGUCUGAGAGGAGGACCAGCCACACUGGAACUGAGACACGGUCCAGACUCCUACGGGAGGCAGCAGGGGGGAAUAUUGCACAAUGGGCGCAAGCCUGAUGCAGCCAUGCCGCGUGUAUGAAGAAGGCCUUCGGGUUGUAAAGUACUUUCAGCGGGGAGGAAGGGAGUAAAGUUAAUACCUUUGCUCAUUGACGUUACCCGCAGAAGAAGCACCGGCUAACUCCGUGCCAGCAGCCGCCGUAA
rnacentral:rRNA from 1 species